rnacentral:rRNA from 1 species
AUGUCUCUAUACACCUGUUGCUUUGGCGGGCCCACCGGGGCCACCUGGUCGCCGGGGGACAUCUGUCCCCGGGCCCGCGCCCGCCGAAGCGCUCUGUGAACCCUGAUGAAGAUGGGCUGUCUGAGUACUAUGAAAAUUGUCAAAACUUUCAACAAUGGAUCUCUUGGUUCCGGCAUCGAUGAAGAACGCAGCGAAAUGCGAUAAGUAAUGUGAAUUGCAGAAUUCCGUGAAUCAUCGAAUCUUUGAACGCACAUUGCGCCCCCUGGCAUUCCGGGGGGCAUGCCUGUCCGAGCGUCAUUUCUGCCCUCAAGCACGGCUUGUGUGUUGGGUGCGGUCCCCCCGGGGACCUGCCCGAAAGGCAGCGGCGACGUCCGUCUGGUCCUCGAGCGUAUGGGGCUUUGUCACUCGCUCGGGAAGGACUGGCGGGGGUUGGUCACCACCAAAAUUUUACCACGGUUGACCUCGGAUCAGGUAGGAGUUACCCGCUGAACUUAAGCAUAUCAAUAAGCGGAAGAAUUCC